rnacentral:rRNA from 1 species
UACGGAGGGCGCAAGCGUUACUCGGAAUUACUGGGCGUAAAGCGUGCGCAGGCGGUUAGGCAAGUCAGAGGCGAAAUCCCCGGGCUCAACCUGGGAACUGCAUUUGUGACUGCAUGGCUAGAGUACGGUAGAGGGGGAUGGAAUUCCGCGUGUAGCAGUGAAAUGCGUAGAUAUGCGGAGGAACACCGAUGGCGAAGGCAAUCCCCUGGACCUGUACUGACGCUCAUGCACGAAAGCGUGGGGAGCAAACAGG